CCCGUUGUGUGAAAGAUAUACGUAGCUUUUUGGGCAUGGCAACAUAUUGUGCCAAAUUCAUUCCGAAUUUUAGUGACCUUACUGAACCACUCCGGAAAUUGACAGUUAAGAAUGCUCAUUUCCGGUGGACAAAUGAUGAACAGUGCGCAUUUAACAACGUAAAACGUGCUCUUACCAGUGACAAAGUUAUGGCAUAUUUUGAAUAAACACACUAAAAACUCACGACUGAUGCAUCACCUUGGGGUUUAUCAGCGAUAUUAUCACAGCAUAUGCCAGGCACAAAUGAUGAAAAAGUUGUUGCUUAUAUAAGUAGAUCUUUGGCGGAAGUUGAAAGGCGAUACUCACAAACUGAACGUGAAGCAUUGACAAUAGUGUGGGCAAUGGAGCGAUUACAUCUUUACUUGCAUGGAGCAAAAUUUACAUUAUAUACGGAUUGUAAGCCUAUCGAGAUGAUUUUGAGUAACCCCAAGUCAAAAUCACCAGCACGAAUUGAAAGAUGGAAUCUCAGAAUUCAAGAUUUUGACUUUAACGUUGUUUAUACAAGUGGUGCUAACAAUGCAUCAUAUUUUCUGUCUCGGCAUCCGUUUAGCAGAGAUGUAGACCAUACACAAGAGGAUGCCGCUGAGAAUUAUGUCAAUUUCCUUACAACCUAUGCCAUCCCGAAAGCAAUGACAUUACAGGAAAUAAAGGAUGAAACCAAAAAGGAC